AACACCCUCGUUAACAAGAUGGCGCUGGAAUCUGGAGGAGACCUCCAAGAUACCAGUGACAUCACACCCGGUAGGAAGAGCAAUAAAUUAACCACUUAACACCUAACCAAUUAUUGAUGUAUUAUUCCAUGUUAUCUCUGACAAUGCAUAUGAUGUAAUUUUGCUUUAUAAGGGGCAUGCCGUCCCCCCAGAAUAAACAUUCCUCAAG
rnacentral:lncRNA from 1 species